rnacentral:rRNA from 1 species
GAUGAACGCUGGCGGCGUGCCUAAUACAUGCAAGUCGAGCGAACAGACGAGGAGCUUGCUCCUCUGACGUUAGCGGCGGACGGGUGAGUAACACGUGGAUAACCUACCUAUAAGACUGGGAUAACUUCGGGAAACCGGAGCUAAUACCGGAUAAUAUAUUGAACCGCAUGGUUCAAUAGUGAAAGACGGUUUUGAUGUCACUUAUAGAUGGAUCCGCGCCGCAUUAGCUAGUUGGUACGGUAACGGCUUACCAAGGCAACGAUGCGUAGCCGACCUGAGAGGGUGAUCGGCCACACUGGAACUGAGACACGGUCCAGACUCCUACGGGAGGCAGCAGUAGGGAAUCUUCCGCAAUGGGCGAAAGCCUGACGGAGCAACGCCGCGUGAGUGAUGAAGGUCUUCGGAUCGUAAAACUCUGUUAUUAGGGAAGAACAAAUGUGUAAGUAACUAUGCACGUCUUGACGGUACCUAAUCAGAAAGCCACGGCUAACUACGUG